GAUGAAGAACGUAGCGAAAUGCGAUACUUGGUGUGAAUUGCAGAAUCCCGUGAACCAUCGAGUCUUUGAACGCAAGUUGCGCCCGAAGCCAUUAGGCCGAGGGCACGCCUGCCUGGGCGUCACACGUCGUUGCCCCCCCAUCUACUCCUUCGGGAUUGCGGGGGGCGGAUGAUGGCCUCCCGUGCGCCUCGUCGCGCGGUUGGCAUAAAUGCCAAGUCCUCGGCGACGCACGCCACGACAAUCGGUGGUUGCGAAACCUCGGUUGCCAGUCGUGUGCGGUCGUCGCGCAUCGAGGGCUCGAAAAAAUUGUCGGGCUCCGGCUCGGCUUUCAACGCGACCCCAGGUCAGGCGGGGUUACCCGCUGAAUUUAAGCAUAUCAAUAAGCGGAGGA
rnacentral:misc_RNA from 1 species